rnacentral:rRNA from 1 species
UACGAGGUCUCAAGCGUUGUUCGGAUUCAUUGGGCGUAAAGGGUGCGUAGGCGGCGCGGUAAGUCGGGUGUGAAAUCUCGGAGCUUAACUCCGAAACUGCAUUCGAUACUGCCGUGCUUGAGGACUGGAGAGGAGACUGGAAUUUACGGUGUAGCGGUGAAAUGCGUAGAUAUCGUAAGGAAGACCAGUGGCGAAGGCGGGUCUCUGGACAGUUCCUGACGCUGAGGCACGAAGGUCAGGGGGAGCAAACGGG